CACUGCCCGGUAGCUAAAUGCGGAAAAGAUAAGUGCUGAAAGCAUCUAAGCACGAAACUUGCCCCGAGAUGAGUUCUCCCUGAGACUAUAAGUCUCCUGAAGGAACGUUGAAGACGACGACGUUGAUAGGUCGGGUGUGUAAGCGUAGCGAUACGUUGAGCUAACCGGUACUAAUGAACCGUGAGGCUUAACCUUACAACGCCGAAG
rnacentral:rRNA from 1 species